rnacentral:rRNA from 4 species
ACGGGUGCGUAACGCGUGGGAAUCUGCCCUUGGGUACGGAAUAACUCAGAGAAAUUUGUGCUAAUACCGUAUAAUGUCUUCGGACCAAAGAUUUAUCGCCCAAGGAUGAGCCCGCGUAAGAUUAGCUAGUUGGUGGGGUAAAAGCCUACCAAGGCGACGAUCUUUAGCUGGUCUGAGAGGAUGAUCAGCCACACUGGGACUGAGACACGGCCCAGACUCCUACGGGAGGCAGCAGUGGGGAAUAUUGGACAAUGGGCGAAAGCCUGAUCCAGCAAUGCCGCGUGAGUGAUGAAGGCCUUAGGGUUGUAAAGCUCUUUUACCCGGGAUGAUAAUGACAGUACCGGGAGAAUAAGCUCCGGCUAACUCCGUGCCAGCAGCCGCGGUAAUACGGAGGGAGCUAGCGUUGUUCGGAAUUACUGGGCGUAAAGCGCGCGUAGGCGGUUUUUUAAGUCAGAGGUGAAAGCCCAGUGCUCAACACUGGAACUGCCUUUGAAACUGGAAAACUUGAAUCUUGGAGAGGUCAGUGGAAUUCCGAGUGUAGAGGUGAAAUUCGUAGA